rnacentral:rRNA from 1 species
UACAGAGGGUGCGAGCGUUAAUCGGAAUUACUGGGCGUAAAGCGUGCGUAGACGGUUAUUUAAGUCGGAUGUGAAAGCCCCGGGCUCAACCUGGGAAUUGCAUUCGAGACUGAAUAGCUAGGGUACGGUAGAGGGAAGCGGAAUUUCCGGUGUAGCGGUGAAAUGCGCAGAUAUCAGGAGGAACACCGAUGGCGAAGGCAGGUCUCUGGGACGGUACUGACGCUGAGACGCGAAAGCGUGGGGAGCGAACAGG